UACGUAGGUGGCAAGCGUUAUCCGGAUUUACUGGGUGUAAAGGGCGUGUAGGCGGGACUGCAAGUCAGAUGUGAAAACCACGGGCUCAACCUGUGGCCUGCAUUUGAAACUGUAGUUCUUGAGUACUGGAGAGGCAGACGGAAUUCCUAGUGUAGCGGUGAAAUGCGUAGAUAUUAGGAGGAACACCAGUGGCGAAGGCGGUCUGCUGGACAGCAACUGACGCUGAGGCGCGAAAGCGUGGGGAGCAAACAGGAUUAGAUACCCGGGUAGUCCGUAGCCAGAAACCCGAGUAGUCCUGAC
rnacentral:rRNA from 1 species